UGCGACAGAUUGUGAUAUCUAGGAGUGAAUAUUCUCAGAGAGACAGACAUGACACAAUGCAUUUAUUUCGACUGACAGGUUUUAUUUCGAUAUUGAAGGAACAGUUAAUUUGAAAAUGAUAAUUCUGUCAUUAUUUACUCACCUUCAUGUCGCUCCAAACCUGUAGGACUUUCCUCCUUGUCCAGGACACAAAAAGAUGUUUUAACAAAAGUUUCUGUCCAUAUUUUCAGUACAGUGGCAGUGGGUUAAACUUCUGGUGCACCGCGUCACGUGACAACAGCAUGAUAUUGAUUUCCAGGAAGCGCUUCUACGGGCACAGCACCAACAAAAGUGCCUCUGAUGGUAGUUUGCUCACCGCAGGCAGGAGAUGCAAUAGCGCGUCACCGGUCAGCGACCCCACAGCGAGACUGAUGCAGAACUGAAUGCAGAGUUCAAACACUUGAGUACAGGCGGAAAACAACAGCACCACGAUUCC